rnacentral:rRNA from 1 species
ACACCGGCGGCCCGAGUGGUGAUCGUGAUUAUUGGGUCUAAAGGGUCCGUAGCCGGUUUGGUCAGUCCUCCGGGAAAUCUGAUAGCUCAACUAUUAGGCUUUCGGGGGAUACUGCCAGACUUGGAACCGGGAGAGGUAAGAGGUACUACAGGGGUAGGAGUGGAAUCUUGUAAUCCCUGUGGGACCACCUGAGGCGAAGGCGUCUGACCAGAACGGGUUCGACGGUGAUGGACGAAAGCUGGGGGCACGAACCGGAUUAGAUACCCGGGUAGUCCCAGCCGUAAACGAUGCUCGCUAGGUGUCAGGCAUGGCGCGACCGUGUCUGGUGCCGCAGGGAAGCCGUGAAGCGAGCCACCUGGGAAGUACGGCCGCAAGGCUGAAACUUAAAUGAAUUGGCGGGG